rfam:Oryza glumipatula chromosome 1, whole genome shotgun sequence.
AAAGACUGUAAUUUUGUACUGUUUAUGUCCAACGUUUAACCGUCCAUAUUAUUUGAAAAAUAAUAUGAUUAGUAUUUUUAUUGUUAUUAGAUGAUAAAACAUGAAUAAUACUUCAUGUGAGACUAUUUUUAAAAAAAUUUUCAUAAAUUUUUAAAAUAAGAAAGACGAUCAAACGUUGGACACGGAAACCCGCAGUUGUACUUAAA